rnacentral:rRNA from 1 species
AUUGAACGCUGGCGGCAUGCCUUACACAUGCAAGUCGAACGGUAACAGGUCUUCGGAUGCUGACAAGUGGCGAACGGGUGAGUAAUACAUCGGAACGUGCCUAGUAGUGGGGGAUAACUACUCGAAACAGUGGCUAAUACCGCAUGAGAUCUACGGAUGAAAGCAGGGGAUCGCAAGACCUUGUGCUACUGGAGCGGCCGAGGGCAGAUUAGGUAGUUGGUGGGUUAAAAGCUUACCAAGCCGACGAUCUGUAGCUGGUCUGAGAGGACGAUCAGCCACACUGGGACUGAGACACGGCCCAGACUCCUACGGGAGGCAGCAGUGGGGAAUUUUGGACAAUGGGCGAAAGCCUGAUCCAGCAAUGCCGCGUGCAGGAUGAAGGCCUUCGGGUUGUAAACUGCUUUUGUACGGAACGAAAAGCCCUGGGUUAAUACCCUGGGGUCAUGACGGUACCGUAAGAAUAAGCACCGGCUAACUACGUGCCAGCCGCCGCAGUAA